ACUUCCAAAGGGAUAAGGGCAUCGCCUCCUUUCUUGAAGGACACUCCCUUCUGAUGGUGAUGGGAACUCCCUUCCUCCUACAGCGGCCUGCCUGCAGUACAGUGUGAAUGCUGCAGCAGCGACCAGGGCCCCAGAAAGACAGCGCCCCAGAGCC
rnacentral:other from 1 species